CCAUCCCUUUUUUAGAAAUGGCUAAGAGAAAUAAAAUUCCAUAUUUUGGAUACUGACAACAAGCCAUCAGCUCCUGAUAUAUCUCCACUGGUCACUUGGAACAUAGAUUGCAACAGUCCAGAAAUAACUACGAAAAAAAAUGGCGUCAUCAUUGGAAUAUGGGAUGAUAAAGAUGAAUUUAAGGAUCUUGACAAAGUGAAGUGUUUCAACUGGGAUGCUUCAGAUCUCUUCAGCGAUAAACCAUCGCGAUUGCUUUACAUUUAUUUAGAAGAUUACAGACAAUGCCCCAAAGACUAUGUACUAACAGCUAUCACUGCAAGUAAUGCUGCAUUUCGGAAUGUGGACAACGGGAAAUGUACUCCACUCAGAGAGGGUUACCAUAUAGAUUACGAGCACUGUGUGACAGUUCAAUCUGAAGGAAGAGACGGAGGUAGUAUUGACAAAUGGAGACCAUGGAAAGUCCAGUGUCCAACUGCUGGACCUAUGGUGGCUGUUUCAUUACACAGAAGACGAAGGAUACACACCGGACUCAAAUGUUGCCUACUGAUUGGACUAACACUAGAAUAAUAGUUAUCAUUAGGACCUUAACUGUUAUUGAUAUUCUUUGCUUCUGUUCAAGAAUUUUAGUUCUAUAGUUAAAAGUGUAACCGAAUUUCUAGUAAUAAAGCUACAGAGAACCUUAA